rnacentral:rRNA from 1 species
CUUUAACUUACAUUAAAAUCGCCAGGGAACUACGAGCAAAGCUUAAAACCCAAAGGACUUGACGGUACCCCACAUCCACCUAGAGGAGCCUGUCCUAUAAUCGAUAAUCCCCGUUUAACCUUACCACUUUUAGCCUAUCAGCCUGUAUACCUCCGUCGUCAGCUUACCACGUGAGCGUCCCUAGUGAGCUUGAUGUCCACUCGUCAAAACGUCAGGUCAAGGUGCAGCUUAUAAAGCGGGAAGAGAUGGGCUACACUCUCUAAUUUAGAACAUACGAAAGACUACUUAUGAAACCUAGUCAGAAGGCGGAUUUAGAAGUAAAAAGAAAUGAGAAAGUUCUUUUUAAUAAGGCACUGGGGUGUGUACACACCGCCCGUCACCCCCU